UUUCGCCAGGGUCUACCUCCUCCCAGACCCUGACGGAUACGGCCCGAGACUACCUCCUCCCAGUCGAGGGCCACCAUAAAGACACCCGCCGGACCUCCUCCCCCGGCGGGUGUUUUU
rnacentral:sRNA from 1 species